rnacentral:rRNA from 1 species
GAUGAACGCUGGCGGCGUGCCUAAUACAUGCAAGUCGAGCGAACGGACGAGAAGCUUGCUUCUCUGAUGUUAGCGGCGGACGGGUGAGUAACACGUGGAUAACCUACCUAUAAGACUGGGAUAACUUCGGGAAACCGGAGCUAAUACCGGAUAAUAUUUUGAACCGCAUGGUUCAAAAGUGAAAGACGGUCUUUCUGUCACUUCUAGAUGGAUCCGCGCUGCAUUAGCUAGUUGGUAAGGUAACGGCUUACCAAGGCAACGAUGCAUAGCCGACCUGAGAGGGGGAUCGGCCACACUGGAACUGAGACACGGUCCAGACUCCUACGGGAGGCAGCAGUAGGGAAUCUUCCGCAAUGGGCGAAAGCCUGACGGAGCAACGCCGCGUGAGUGAUGAAGGUCUUCGGAUCGUAAAACUCUGUUAUUAGGGAAGAACAUAUGUGUAAGUAACUGUGCACAUCUUGACGGUACCUAAUCAGAAAGCCACGGCUAACUACGUG